UAAACUUGCUCUUAGGUAUCAAUUAGGAAAAUAAAUUCAAUCGAUUAGGAUUUUUUUUUUAAGUAAACCUUCUCUCUGCUUUGUUUCUCCUUUUCUCCUCCGUGGUUUUUCUCCCGCCGCCGCAAACCACGCUCCUCCUCCCGCUGACCUUCUUUAUUUCUCCUCCGCCUCCCACGCACCGAGUUUCUCUCCCUCAUGUUCUCACCAACUUCCUUAUUCUUUUCUCUCUCCGGACUCUUUUCUUGUUUUUCUGCACUGAAAAAAAAAACAUUUUUUUUAUUUUAACGCUUCCCCCUUUCUUCUGCCGCCGCCAUCCAAGCCGGAACCAUUGCCGCCGUUGCUUCCCCCGUUCGAAGAGACCCUUCCGUCACGCCGGCGACACUAAGAAAAGGAGACAAAGCCUUUUUUUCAUCGCAGCCUUCAACCCUCGGCGGCGCCGCCAGUCGACGUCAGCCGCCGCCAGCUCUGCUCCUCGAUUGCCACCCAACGGAAGUGUGCACCUCCAUUCAAAGCCAGCGCGGAUCCUCUGGUCCCUCCCUGGACCACAAAACACUUAUAAAAAGUUGAAUCACGUGGUUUUCACGUGCACAGAGCAGGGCAGAAAACGCAGCAACGACGCCCUAACCUCACGUCUCGCGCCCCGACACCUUCUCCGGCAUCCCUGAGAGCGGAGACCCUCCUGUGACCUCCCUGAGCAGAACCAGCGAUCCGCCGGCGACGACCCUCUUCUCCUACUCCUCCGAGCCCUCGCCCUCUCUCAAAAUCCUCGACCUCUGCCGCCGUUAGACCUCCCUGAGCAGAACCCAGCGAUCAGCCGGCGACGACCCUCUUCUCCUACUCCUCCGAGCCCUCGACCUCUGCCGACCUUAGGGCUUAUUUGCGGUGCAAUUCCCAUUUGUGCAGUUUGCUGGACCACCUCCUGCGGCAUCCUCCCCUUAGACAUCAACGAUCUCGUUCCAAAUGCUUUGGGAGUCAUUUUGGCUUUUGUCCAACUGGUUCUCAUGCUUGUUACUAUAGAUCCACACC